AGAUGAGACAGAAUGAACAUUCUCCCCAUGUAACAUAAAGCUUUCAUAAAAUCUCUCACCCUUUGUGCAUUAACAAGAAAGGAAUGCUCUAGAUAUUUAUGCUGAUAUUCAAACAGAUAUGCAUCAAACAAUAUAUGCAAUUUCUCAAAGUUCAAUGAUGCUCCCCCUAUCACAUUUAAUCACAUGUAAGCGAUAACCCCC
rnacentral:lncRNA from 1 species